CAUUUGGGAUGUUUUGAUUUUAUGUGCCCAUUAAUAUAAGCAUUGUAUGAUUGAGUAGAAUUUGUUUAAUACGAAAAUAACUCAGUUUGACACAAUUCAACUAUUUGAUUUAGUUCGUUCGAUCCUUUGAUGUUUAAAUAAAGUUACAAACGUCCCUGCAGUGUGUAAACAUCUUAUUGCGUGUUCAACAUAAACAGGACACUAUUUUAUUUAUUUUUUUACAUUGAUUUGUUUUCCUUGGUGUUUUACGUCAAAUUUACAGAUGUCUUUUAUAUGGUGCAACAAUUGGUGGUCAAUUAAACAAUUGAACACUUCGGUGUUGACAUGAAUAACGAUAAUGUGGUCAUUUUAUAAAUUUCCUGUUUACAAAACAUUUAAUUUUUCAAAAAAACUAAGAAUUUUCUUAUCCAGGGCAUAGAUUACCUUAGCCGUAUUUGGCACAACUUUUUGGAAUUUUGGAUCCUCAAUGCUCUUCAACUUCGUACUUGUUUAGCUUGAUAAAUAUUUUGAUAUCAGCGUCACUAAUAAGUCUUAUGUAGAGAAACGCGCGUCUGGCGUACUAAAUUAUAAUCCUGGUACCUUUGAUAACUAUUGACCUAUGACCACGAAAAUGAAUGCAAACUGUAAUAAAUACCAUUGUUUAAGAUUAAUCUCAUCGGUAUCAAACACGCCAAUACUGGUAACAAAAAUAU
rnacentral:lncRNA from 1 species